rnacentral:rRNA from 1 species
CCGAAAGAUGGUGAACUAUACUUGAUCAGGUUGAAGUCAGGGGAAACCCCUGAUGGAAGACCGAAACAGUUCUGACGUGCAAAUCGAUUGUCAGAAUUGAGUAUAGGGGCGAAAGACAAUCGAACCAUCUAGUAGCUGGUUCCUUCCGAGUUUCCCUCAGGAUAGCUGGUUGCAUUUUAAUGUUAUAUAAAAUAAUCUUAUCUGGUAAAGCGAAUGAUUAGAGGCCUUAGGGUCGAAACGAUCUUAACCUAUUCUCAAACUUUAAAUGGGUAAGAACCUUAACUUUCUUGAUAUGAAGUUUAAGGUUAUGAUAUAAUGUGCCCAGUGGGCCACUUUUGGUAAGCAGAACUGGCGCUGUGGGAUGAACCAAACGUAAUGUUACGGUGCCCAAAUUAACAACUCAUGCAGAAACCAUGAAAGGCGUUGGUUGCUUAAAACAGCAGGACGGUGAUCAUGGAAGUCGAAAUCCGCUAAGGAGUGUGUAACAACUCACCUGCCGAAGCAACUAGCCCUUAAAAUGGAUGGCGCUUAAGUUGUAUACCUAUACAUUACCGCUAAAGUAGAUGAUUUAUAUUACUUGUGAUAUAAAUUUUGAAACUUUAGUGAGUAGGAAGGUACAAUGGUAUGCGUAGAAGUGUUUGGCGUAAGCCUUCAUGGAGCUGCCAUUGGCACAGAUCUUGGUGGUAGUAGCAAAUAAUCGAAUGAGACCUUGGAGGACUGAAGUGGAGAAGGGUUUCGUGUGAACAGUGGUUGAUCACGAGUUAGUCGGUCCUAAGUUCAAGGCGAAAGCCGAAAAUUUUCAAGUAAAAAAUCAGUGAGUAAUAUUGUCAAAUCUUUUAUGAUUUUUAAAUACUUGAAUAAUUUUGAACGAAAGGGAAUACGGUUCCAAUUCCGUAACCUGUUGAGUAUCCGUUUGUUAUUAAAUAUGGGCCUCGUGCUCAUCCUGGCAACAGGAACGACCAUAAAGAAGCCGUCGAGAGAUAUCGGAAGAGUUUUCUUUUCUGUUUUAUAGCCGUACUACCAUGGAAGUCUUUCGCAGAGAGAUAUGGUAGAUGGGCUAGAAGAGCAUGACAUAUACUGUUGUGUCGAUAUUUUCUCCUCGGACCUUGAAAAUUUAUGGUGGGGACACGCAAACUUCUCAACAGGCCGUACCAAUAUCCGCAGCUGGUCUCCAAGGUGAAGAGUCUCUAGUCGAUAGAAUAAUGUAGGUAAGGGAAGUCGGCAAAUUAGAUCCGUAACUUCGGGAUAAGGAUUGGCUCUGAAGAUUGAGAUAGUCGGGCUUGAUUGGGAAACAAUAACAUGGUUUAUGUGCUCGUUCUGGGUAAAUAGAGUUUCUAUCAUUUAUGGUAGUUACUUGUUCCCCGGAUAGUUUAGUUACGUAGCCAAUUGUGGAACUUUCUUGCUAAAAUUUUUAAGAAUACUAAUUGGGUUAAACCAGUUAGUUCUUAUUAAUUAUAACGAUUAUCAAUUAACAAUCAAUUCAGAACUGGCACGGACUUGGGGAAUCCGACUGUCUAAUUAAAACAAAGCAUUGUGAUGGCCCUAGCGGGUGUUGACACAAUGUGAUUUCUGCCCAGUGCUCUGAAUGUCAAAGUGAAGAAAUUCAAGUAAGCGCGGGUCAACGGCGGGAGUAACUAUGACUCUCUUAAGGUAGCCAAAUGCCUCGUCAUCUAAUUAGUGACGCGCAUGAAUGGAUUAACGAGAUUCCUACUGUCCCUAUCUACUAUCUAGCGAAACCACAGCCAAGGGAACGGGCUUGGAAUAAUUAGCGGGGAAAGAAGACCCUUUUGAGCUUGACUCUAAUCUGGCAGUGUAAGGAGACAUAAGAGGUGUAGCAUAAGUGGGAGAUAUUAGAUUUCGGUUUGGUAUCGACAAUGAAAUACCACUACUCUUAUUGUUUCCUUACUUACUUGAUUAAAUGGAACGUGUAUCAUUUCCUAGCCAUUAUACGGAUAUAUUUAUUAUAUCUUAUGGUAUUGGGUUUUGAUGCAAGCUUCUUGAUCAAAGUAUCACGAGUUUGUUAUAUAAUCGCAAACAAAUUCUUUAAUGAGAAAAUGCAUUUAUGUAUUUUCAAUUUGAAAAUUUGGUAUAACUCCAAUUACUCAGGUAUGAUCCAAUUCAAGGACAUUGCCAGGUAGGGAGUUUGACUGGGGCGGUACAUCUCUCAAAUAAUAACGGAGGUGUCCCAAGGCCAGCUCAGUGCGGACAGAAACCACACAUAGAGCAAAAGGGCAAAUGCUGACUUGAUCUCGGUGUUCAGUACACACAGGGACAGCAAAAGCUCGGCCUAUCGAUCCUUUUGGUUUAAAGAGUUUUUAACAAGAGGUGUCAGAAAAGUUACCAUAGGGAUAACUGGCUUGUGGCGGCCAAGCGUUCAUAGCGACGUCGCUUUUUGAUCCUUCGAUGUCGGCUCUUCCUAUCAUUGUGAAGCAAAAUUCACCAAGCGUUGGAUUGUUCACCCAUGCAAGGGAACGUGAGCUGGGUUUAGACCGUCGUGAGACAGGUUAGUUUUACCCUACUAAUGACAAAACGUUGUUGCGACAGCAUUCCUGCGUAGUACGAGAGGAACCGCAGGUACGGACCAAUGGCACAAUACUUGUUCGAGCGAACAGUGGUAUGACGCUACGUCCGUUGGAUUAUGCCUGAACGCCUCUAAGGUCGUAUCCGUGCUGGACUGCAAUGAUAAAUAAGGGGCAAUUUGCAUUGU